ensembl:lncRNA
UCUUUCUGGACUCCGUUUAUUUAUUUAUUAGGUUCCCCUGAAUUAGCUGGUGCCGAGGCAGCGGCUGCUCUUCCUGGGGUCCAAAAAAGGAAUCAAAACACAACAAACAAAACCCAGUACUACAUUAACAUCCAGAGACCCACACAGCUGAGUGCAUUCGUCUCAAGAUACCCAGGCAGACAUAUACCACAGUAGUAUCACAUACCCAGACAGACAUAUACCACAGUGGUAUCACAUACCCAGGCCCAGACAGACAUAUACCACAGUGGUAUCGCAUACCCAGGCCCAGACAAACAUAUAUAGCAUACCCAGGCCCAGACAAACAUAUAUCACAUACCCAGGCCCAGACAAACAUAUAUAGCAUACCCAGGCCCAGACAAACAUAUAUCACAUACCCAGACCCAGACAAACAUAUAUAGCAUACCCAGGCCCAGACAAACAUAUAUCACAUACCCAGGCCCAGACAAACAUAUAUCACAUACCCAGGCCCAGACAAACAUAUAUCACAUACCCAGACCCAGACAAACAUAUAUCACAUACC